AACCCGAAACGGUAAACCCUGGGAAACCAGGGGACACAAAGCUACGGAACUA
rnacentral:ncRNA from 1 species